rnacentral:lncRNA from 1 species
CAAUAUGUAAAAAGAUGUUCAACAUCACUAAUUACUAGGGAAAUACAAGUCAAAACUAUAAUGAUACCACCUCACACCCAAUAAAAUAUCCACAAUCAAAUAGAAAUACCAAGUGUUGGUGAGGAUACACUGAAAUUGGAGCUGUUAUUGGAGUUCCUCAAAAAAUUAAAAGUAGAAUUACCAAAUGGUCCAGCAACUCCACUUCUAAAUAUAUACCCAAAAAACUCAACACAAGUCUCAAAGAAAUAUUUGUACUUACUUAUUCAUAGCAUUAUUCACAAUAACUAAAUUGUAUAAGCAGCACAACUGUCCAUUCACAGAUGAAAGUAUAAGCAAAAUGUGGCAUAUAUAUGCAACAUUACUCAACCUUAAGGAAGGAGAAAAUUCUGACAUACACAAUAAGAUGGAUAAAUCUUGGUGAACAAUGCUAAGUAAAAUAAGCCAGUCACAAAAAAACAACUACUGUAUAAUCCCACAUAUAUGAAAUACUCAGAAUGGCAAAACCAUAAAGACUGUAGAAUGGCAGUUUCCAGAAGUUGGAGGAAAGGGAGUCUCUGUUUUACAAGAAUAAAAGAGUUAUGAAGAUGGAUGGUAGUGAUAAAUGCAUGACAUUAUGAAUGCACUUAAUACUAUUAAACUGUAUAUUUAAAAAUAGCUAAUAGUAAACUUUAUGUUACAUACAUUUUACCACAUUGAAAAGAAUUUGGAAGUAAAAUCAAUGGGCAAUGGGAAUGAACUGAUAAAUUCUUUAGACCCAGAAAGGAAACAAUGCUAAAUAUAAAUCUAAACAAUGCUAAAUCUAAAAUUAUCUCUGGAUUGAC